rnacentral:rRNA from 1 species
GACGAACGCUGGCGGCGUGGAUUAGGCAUGCAAGUCGAACGGUAUCAUCCUUUCGGGGGUGAGAGAGUGGCGAACUGGUGAGUAACACGUAGGUUAUCUACCCUCAAGACGGGGACAACCCAGGGAAACUUGGGCUAAUACCGGAUGUGAGCAACUUUUAGUUGUUUGAAAGGUGGCGUAAGCUGUCGCUUGGGGAUGAGCCUGCGUCCUAUUAGUUAGUUGGUGAGGUAACGGCUCACCUAGGCAAUGAUAGGUAGGCGGCCUUAACGGGUGGUCGCCCACACUGGGAUUGAGAUACGGCCCAGACUCCUACGGGAGGCAGCAGUCGAGAAUAGUCUACAAUGGUCGGAAGACUGAUAGUGCGACGCCGCGUGAACGAUGAAUCCCUUCGGGGUUAAAGUUCUUUUAUAUGUGAGCAGUGCUUCUUAUAUUAACAGUAUGGGGAAGAGAUAUUAGCAUAAUGAAUAAGCAACGGCUAAACUCCGUGCCAGCAGCCGGGUAA